AAAAAUUUUUUUUUAAAGCAUGAUGGAAUUUUAGCUGCAGUCUUCUUGCUUCCAGCCUAUCAACCCAAAACUCUGAGUGUAAAAGCUUCUGCAGGGCACUUUCUUACGCGAGGAGCUAAACAGUGACUAAAGAAGCAGGAUGAAAAGAUGGCACGGUCAGUGCUGGUACCUCCAGGACCUGACAGCUUCCGCUUCUUUACCAGGGAAUCCCUUGCUGCUAUCGAACAGCGCAUUGCAGAAGAGAAAGCUAAGAGACCCAAACAGGAACGCAAGGACGAAGACGAUGAAAAUGGCCCAACUGGGACGAAUAUAUUGAAGAUAAAAGUCACUUUUAUUUUUUGGAAGGACAAAACGAUGCUCUGCUUUGUGGGAACAGCUCGGAUGCUGGACAGUGUCCAGAAGGAUACAUCUGUGUGAAGGCUGGGAGAAACCCCAACUACGGCUACACAAGUUUUGACACCUUCAGCUGGGCCUUCUUGUCCUUAUUUCGUCUCAUGACUCAAGACUUCUGGGAAAACCUUUAUCAGCUGACCUUGCGUGCUGCCGGGAAAACAUACAUGAUAUUUUUUGUGCUGGUCAUUUUCUUGGGCUCAUUCUACCUGAUAAAUUUGAUCCUGGCUGUGGUGGCCAUGGCCUACGAGGAACAGAACCAGGCCACACUGGAGGAGGCUGAACAGAAGGAGGCAGAGUUUCAGCAGAUGCUGGAGCAACUGAAGAAGCAGCAGGAGGAAGCUCAGGCAGCAGCUGCAGCAGCGUCCGCAGAAUCCAGAGACUUCAGCGGGGCA
rnacentral:lncRNA from 1 species